ACCGGCCGCCGCAGCGAUCGCGUCGAAAGCCUGCUCCCGUUCCUCCCUUUAUCUCCCAUCUUUUCAACCGGAUUUUCAUGAGCAGGGCGAGACUUCGCGAGCGCGAAGCUUCUAGAAGCGCCGGAGCACGUAGGCCCCUCUGUCUGUCUCACUCGCGGUCACAUUGGCGGCCUCACUCUCGCUCGCUGUCCUUUCUCGGGCUGUCCUUUCUCGAGCUUUCCACAGCAGGAUUUUCGUGAGCGGUACGCGCCUUGUCAUAAAUACUGCGUCGUAGUAACAGUGUUUUCGAGUGAACAUCACGAAUGUGUCGUGUGGAAUUUGACAAGAGGAAUAAGGAGUAAGAGGAGAAGGAGAAGGAGAAGGGCGAGGACUUCUUGUAGACGUAGCUACGAAUAGUGGUAGACACGUAGAGAACUUCAAACUCUGAAAUUGACCCGACGGAGCUUACGACCACAUUGCGAGGGUGGAAGCUGUUCCGGUGGAUGCGAAUGCCGUACCGGAGGAUCCGGUUCGGGCAAAGCAGGGUCGGCUUGAAGAUUUUGCAGCUCAACGUGGCCGGCCCUGGCUGUUCGGUGAGUGAAAUAUGGGAAAAUGAUAAACAUUCAAGGUGGUGGCUUUGACGGGUUCUUGCUAAAUUUUAUUCGUAUCAAUUUUUCGUCGAA